rnacentral:rRNA from 1 species
GUGCCAGCAGCCGCGGUAAUACGGAGGAUGCGAGCGUUAUCCGGAUUUAUUGGGUUUAAAGGGUCCGUAGGCGGGUUAAUAAGUCAGCGGUGAAAACCUGCAGCUUAACUGUAGAACUGCCGUUGAUACUGUUAAUCUUGAAUAGUAUUGAAGUAGCUGGAAUGUGUAGUGUAGCGGUGAAAUGCAUAGAUAUUACACAGAACCCCGAUUGCGAAGGCAGGUUACUAAAUACCGAUUGACGCUGAUGGACGAAAGCGUGGGGAGCGAACAGGAUUAGAUACCCUGGUAGUCCACGCCGUAAACGAUGGAUACUCGUUGUUGGGGGUAACCUCAGUGACUAAGCGAAAGUAAUAAGUAUCCCACCUGGGGAGUACGGUCGCAAGAUUAAAACUCAAAGGAAUUGACGGGGACCCGCACAAGCGGUGGAUGAUGUGGAUUAA